AGUCGACGGGAAGACUGAAGAGCUUGCUCUUUAUGAAAUCCAGUGGCAAACGGGUGAGUAACACGUAAACAACCUGCCUUCAGGAUGGGGACAACAGACGGAAACGACUGCUAAUACCGAAUACGAUUCUUGAGUCGCAUGACACAAGAAAGAAAGGGUGGCCUCUACUUGUAAGCUAUCGCCUGAAGAGGGGUUUGCGUCCGAUUAGGUAGUUGGUGAGGUAACGGCCCACCAAGCCGACGAUCGGUAGCCGGUCUGAGAGGAUGAACGGCCACAUUGGAACUGAGACACGGUCCAGACUCCUACGGGAGGCAGCAGUGGGGAAUCUUCCGCAAUGGGCGAAAGCCUGACGGAGCAACGCCGCGUGAGUGAAGACGGCCUUCGGGUUGUAAAACUCUGUGAUUCGGGACGAAAGAUAAGUAGACGAAUAAUCUGCAUAAGUGACGGUACCGAAAAAGCAAGCCACGGCUAACUACGUGCCAGCAGCCGCGGUAAUACGUAGGUGGCAAGCGUUGUCCGGAAUUAUUGGGCGUAAAGCGCGCGCAGGCGGCUACUUAAGUCCAUCUUAAAAGUGCGGGGCUUAACCCCGUGAUGGGAUGGAAACUGGGAAGCUGGAGUGUCGGAGAGGAAAGUGGAAUUCCUAGUGUAGCGGUGAAAUGCGUAGAGAUUAGGAAGAACACCGGUGGCGAAGGCGACUUUCUGGACGACAACUGACGCUUAGGCGCGAAAGCGUGGGGAGCAAACAGGAUUAGAUACCCUGGUAGUCCACGCCGUAAACGAUGGAUACUAGGUGUAGGAGGUAUCGACCCCUUCUGU
rnacentral:rRNA from 1 species